rnacentral:rRNA from 1 species
UACGUAGGGGGCUAGCGUUGUCCGGAAUCAUUGGGCGUAAAGCGCGUGUAGGCGGCCCGAUAAGUCCGCUGUGAAAGUCCAGGGCUCAACCCUGGGAUGCCGGUGGAUACUGUCGGGCUCGAGUCCGGAAGAGGCGAGUGGAAUUCCUGGUGUAGCGGUGAAAUGCGCAGAUAUCGGGAAGAACACCCGUGGCGAAGGCGGUUCUCUGGGACGGUACUGACGCUGAGACGCGAAAGCGUGGGGAGCGAACGGG